GAUGAAGAACGCAGUGAAAUGCGAUACUUGGUGUGAAUUGCAGAAUCCCGCGAAUCAUCGAGUUUUUGAACGCAAGUUGCGCCCGAAGCCAUUCGGCCGAGGGCACGUCUGCCUGGGUGUCACGCAUCGUUGCCCCCCCAAACUCCGGUUUGGGCGGGGCGGAAGUUGGCCUCCCGUGCGUGCCUGCGCGCGCGGUUAGCCCAAAAGCGAGUCCUCGGCGACGAGCGCCACGACAAUCGGUGGUUUUUUUACCCUCGUUCCUCGUCGUGCGUGUCCCGUCGCCCGAACGCGCUCUUGUGACCCUCACGCGUCGCCUCAGUGGCGCUCCCAACGCGACCCCAGGUCAGGCGGGACUACCCGCUGAGUUUAAGCAUAUCAAUAAGCGGAGGA
rnacentral:misc_RNA from 1 species